rnacentral:rRNA from 1 species
GAGAAACCCAAAAGAUCGAAUGGGGAGAUUCAUCGUCAGCGGCUCUGGCUUCCGUGCGGUACGCGAUGGCGGGGACCUCGGUCUCGCGUCACGCUGCCGCUGCGGCAUGUCCGGAGUCGUCGGCGUGCACUUCUCCCCUAGUAGGACGUCGCGACCCGUUGGGUGUCGGAUCGAUGGCCGGUCGGUCGUCUGUUGCGCUCGCGCUUCAGACCGAUUCGGUCGAAAGUCCGGCUGCCCGGCGGUAUUGAACGAUAUGAACUGGUAUCGGGCCGCAUCGAAUGCGUUCAGGCUCGUCGGCAGGCUCGUCUCGCUCGGAUUUACGGACCUAGCGCCGUUGCCGGGCGCUUGGCGUGGCUGUUAGUCGACGAUGUCCUCGGACUGGCUCUUACCCGUCGGCGACGCUACUGCUUUGGGUACUUUC